rnacentral:rRNA from 1 species
GAUGAACGCUGGCGGCGUGCCUAACACAUGCAAGUCGAACGGUUAAGGCGGCUUCGGCCGCGUAUAAAGUGGCGAACGGGUGAGUAACGCGUGACCGACCUUCCCCCCGCACCGGGACAACCGCGGGAAACCGCGGCUGAUACCGGGUACUCCGGGGCCCCCGCAUGGGGGCCCCGGGAAAGCUCCGGCGGCGGGGGAUGGGGUCGCGUCCCAUCAGGUAGUAGGCGGGGCAACGGCCCACCUAGCCGACGACGGGUAGCCGGGUUGAGAGACCGACCGGCCACAUUGGGACUGAGAUACGGCCCAGACUCCUACGGGAGGCAGCAGUGGGGAAUUUUGCGCAAUGGGGGCAACCCUGACGCAGCAACGCCGCGUGCGGGACGACGGCCUUCGGGUUGUAAACCGCUUUCAGCAGGGAAGAACCUUUGACGGUACCUGCAGAAGAAGCCCCGGCUAACUACGUG